rnacentral:lncRNA from 1 species
UUCCAUAAUUGGUGAGUUUUUGAUUUUUGUCAACCAUAACAUUAUUAUUUAAAACCCAUAACUUUUCCAGAUGGUACAAUAUUGAAGUUCAAAGCCCAAAACUUUCUAUUAAAGAGAAACUUGAUAAAAUAUUAUUUGCAAAAAAAAAAAAAACUUGAUAAAAUACGUGUAAGGCUUGAAUUGCUUUAUGUAGCCAUCUUCUCUUCUAACAACGUGACUGCUACAUGCAAACUUCCACCACGUUGACUGUUCCUCCAGCGAAGGUCUUCCACCUCUUCCCACCGUGAAGCAACAUCUUACAAUAAGCUUGAACCUUCUGAUCAAGCAAUUUUCACCUUACUACCUUAAAAACAUUGCUAAGCAGUUUAUGAAUCACAUGAAAGAUAGAACAAGGAACGUUCGAAAUCAAUCAAAGGGAGAUCUUUGUUUGACCGUUACUUCACUAGAAGAAAGUCGGCUCUACUGAAUCUUCUUCUAACUGAACAAUAAAUUCCAACAUACCCAUAAUCUUUUAAUCAGAGAGACUCUACUCUAAUACAAGGGAAAAAUUAAAUGAGUAGAGAUUUAUACUCCUGGAAAGAUUUAUGGAUAAUAAAAUGACCACAAAACCCAACAAAGCAAACAAAAUCUAAAGCAUGUUAAAGGGGCAAAAGCAAGAGAACAACACACCAAAAACUAAAACGAAUUGAAAAUCCCACAAGGAAUCAAAAUCGAUCAUAAGAUCAAAAAUAUUUACAUAAAAACAACUAAAUCAUCAUCAUCAGUCUGAAAGAUUAAGAAUUUGUUAAGAGAGAGAUGAAGAAAGAAAUUUCUCUCUCUAAGAUAGACGAGAGAG